rnacentral:rRNA from 1 species
CAGAUCGGAAUAACCUCUGGAAACGGUGGGUAAUGCCGAAUGGUCCCUGGAACGACAUCGUUCCAAGGGUAAACGGUGCCUUCGGGUGCUGCUGAGGGAGCGGGUUGCGGCCUAUCAGCUUGUUGGUGGGGUAACGGCCUACCAAGGCGAUGACGGGUAGCGGGUCUGAGAGGAUGAUCCGUCACACUGGGACUGAGACACUGCCCAGACUCCUACGGGAGGCUGCAGUCGAGAAUCUUCCACAAUGGGCGAAAGCCUGAUGGAGCGACACCGCGUGCAGGAUGAAGGCCCUAGGGUUGUAAACUGCUGUCACGCUAUAGGAACCCACGGUCGUUAAUAGCUUCCGUGCUGACCAAAGCGAGAGGAAGCGCCGGCUAACUCCGUGCCAGCAGCCGCGGUAAUACGGAGGGCGCAAGCGUAGUUCGGAUUUACUGGGCAUAAAGAGCACGUAGGCGGCUCGCUCAGUCGGGUGUGAAAGCCCACGGCCCAACCGUGGAACUGCACCCGAUACUGGCGAGCUCGAGGACGGAAGGGGUGAGUGGAACUCCAGGUGGAACGGUGGAAUGUAUAGAUAUCUGGAGGAACACCGGUGGCGAAAGCGGCUCACUGGUCCGUUUCUGACGCUGAGGUGCGAAAAGCUAGGGUAGCGAACGGGAUUAGAUACCCCCGGUAGUCCUAGCCGUAAACGAUGGGCACUAGGCAAUGGGCCCUCCUAUGAGGUUCAUUGCCGGAGCUAAUGUGUUAAGUGCCCCGCCUGGGGAGUACGCUCGCAAGGGUAAAACUCAAAGGAAUUGACGGGGGAUCACACAAGCGGUGGAGCAUGUUGUUUAAUUCGAAGCAACGCGAAGAACCUUACCAGGCCUUGACAUGUACGGAUUAGCCACGUGAAAGCGUGGUGACAGCUCUUCGGAGUCGGAACGUACACAGGUGUUGCAUGGCUGUCGUCAGCUCGUGCCGUGAGGUGUUGGGUUAAGUCCCGUAACGAGCGAAACCCUUAUCGUUAGUUGCCAGCGGGUUAUGCCGGGGACUCUAGCGAGACUGCCGUUGUCAAAACGGAGGAAGGUGGGGACGACGUCAAGUCAUCAUGGCCCUUAUGGCCUGGGCUACAAACGUGCUACAAUGGUCCAUACAAUGGGUUCCGAAGCCGCGAGGUGUAGGCAAUCCCAUCAAAGUGGGCCCCAGUUCGGAUUGCAGGCUGAAAUUCG